AGUGAACGCUGGCGGUAGGCCUAACACAUGCAAGUCGAACGGCAGCACAGUAAGAGCUUGCUCUUACGGGUGGCGAGUGGCGGACGGGUGAGGAAUACAUCGGACUCUACUUUUUCGUGGGGGAUAACGUAGGGAAACUUACGCUAAUACCGCAUACGACCUACGGGGGAAAGCAGGGGAGCUUCGGACCUUGCGCGAUUGAAUGCGCCGAUGUCGGAUUAGCUAGUUGGCGGGGUAAAGGCCCACCAAGGCGACGAUCCGUAGCUGGUCUGAGAGGAUGAUCGGCCACACUGGAACUGAGACACGGUCCAGACUCCUACGGGAGGCAGCAGUGGGGAAUAUUGGACAAUGGGCGCAAGCCUGAUCCAGCCAUACCGCGUGGGUGAAGAAGGCCUUCGGGUUGUAAAGCCCUUUUGUUGGGAAAGAAAAGCAGCAGGUUAAUACCCCGCUGUUCUGACGGUACCCAAAGAAUAAGCACCGGCUAACUUCGUG
rnacentral:rRNA from 1 species